rnacentral:rRNA from 1 species
UACAGAGGGUGCAAGCGUUGUUCGGAAUUACUGGGCGUAAAGGGCGCGUAGGCGGUACUUCAAGUCAGGCGUGAAAGCCCCGGGCUCAACCUGGGAACCGCGCUUGAGACUGGAGAACUAGAGUUCGGGAGAGGAUGGUGGAAUUCCCAGUGUAGAGGUGAAAUUCGUAGAUAUUGGGAAGAACACCGAUGGCGAAGGCAGCCAUCUGGACCGACACUGACGCUGAGGCGCGAAAGCGUGGGGAGCAAACAGG